rnacentral:tRNA from 1 species
GGUUGCAGCUCAGUGGUAGAGCGCUUGCCUAGCAUGCCAGAAGCCCUGGGUUUGAUCCCCUGCACCA